rnacentral:rRNA from 1 species
UACGUAGGGUGCAAGCGUUGUCCGGAAUUAUUGGGCGUAAAGAGCUCGUAGGCGGUCUGUCGCGUCGGCUGUGAAAACCUGGGGCUCAACCCCGGGCCUGCAGCCGAUACGGGCAGACUAGAAUUCGGUAGGGGAGACUGGAAUUCCUGGUGUAGCGGUGAAAUGCGCAGAUAUCAGGAGGAACACCGGUGGCGAAGGCGGGUCUCUGGGCCGAUAUUGACGCUGAGGAGCGAAAGCGUGGGGAGCAAACAGG